AAUGCACCAUUUAAAAAAGAUAUUCAAAACUGGAUAUUCAAACUCAGCACCUCCAGUGAUAUAAUUGAAGAAUGGUUGAUUGUACAAAACCUCUGGGUUUACCUUGAAGCUGUUUUUGUAGGUGGGGAUAUCGCCAAGCAAUUACCCCAGGAAGCAAAACGUUUUCAAAACAUAGAUAAAUCAUGGAUAAAAAUAAUGCAGCGAGCACAUGAAAAUCCCAAUGUAAUUAGCUGUUGUGUUGGAGAUGAAACUAUGGGACAACUUUUACCACAUUUACAUGAACAAUUGGAAGUAUGCCAGAAAUCACUUACAGGGUAUUUGGAAAAAAAAAGAUUACUGUUUCCUAGAUUCUUUUUUAUUUCUGAUCCUGCCCUUCUGGAGAUACUUGGACAGGCUAGUGAUUCUCACACUAUUCAGCCACACCUUCCUGGUUUAUCUGACAAUAUAAAUGAAGUGGAAUUUCACCCAAAGGAUUAUGAUCGCAUUAUGACAGUUGUAUCAAGAGAAGGAG